GACGAACGCUGGCGGCGCGCCUUACGCAUGCAAGUCGAACGAACCUUCGGGUUAGUGGCGGACGGCUGAGUAACGCGUAGGUAACCUGCCCAGUGGUGGGGAAUAACCCGCCGAAAGGCGAGCUAAUACCGCAUAAGCUCUCGGCCUGAAAUGGCCGUUUGGAAAGCAUUUAUGCGCCACUGGAGGGUCCUGCGUCCUAUCAGGUAGUUGGUGGGGUAAUGGCCUACCAAGCCGAUGACGGGUAGCUGGUCUGAGAGGACGACCAGCCAGAAGGGGACUGAGACACGGCCCUACUCCUACGGGAGGCUG
rnacentral:rRNA from 1 species